CCCUGUGCUUCAUUUUCACAGGCAGGAAUGUUGCCUCCUGCUCAUGGCUGCGACUUCCCUGGCCCUGCCUUGGCAUUUUCCCACACCCGCAGGUCCACGAGCGUUCCUUCCAGAUCAGAAGAGCAC